AUUGAACGCUGGCGGAAUGCUUUACACAUGCAAGUCGAGCGGCAGCGCGGCCUUCGGGCUGGCGGCGAGCGGCGAACGGGUGAGUAAUGCAUCGGAACAUGCCCAGUCGUGGGGGAUAACACUUCGAAAGAAGUGCUAAUACCGCAUACGUCCUGAGGGGGAAAGCGGGGGAUCGCAGGACCUCGCGCGAUUGGAGUGGCCGAUGUCAGAUUAGCUAGUUGGUGGGGUAAAGGCCUACCAAGGCGACGAUCUGUAGCUGGUCUGAGAGGAUGAUCAGCCACACUGGGACUGAGACACGGCCCAGACUCCUACGGGAGGCAGCAGUGGGGAAUUUUGGACAAUGGGGGCAACCCUGAUCCAGCCAUUCCGCGUGAGUGAAGAAGGCCUUCGGGUUGUAAAGCUCUUUCGGCAGGAACGAAACGGUGGGCUCUAACAUAGUCCGCUAAUGACGGUACCUGAAGAAGAAGCACCGGCUAACUACGUG
rnacentral:rRNA from 1 species